GGAGUGAGCUGGGCGGUCGCGAGACGCAUGCGUCUCGAGGAAAGUCCGGGCUCCACAGGGCAGGGUGCCGGCUAACAGCCGGGCGGGGCAACCCGACGGAAAGUGCCACAGAAAAGAAGACUCCACAUCGAGACGCCACGUGGGUCCCGAUGUGGAAAAGCUGAAACGGUGAGGUAAGAGCUCACCAGCGGGCCGGAGACGACCCGGCUUGGCAAACCCCACCCGGAGCAAGGCCAUGCAGGGACCACGAGACGGCCCGUCUCGUCCCGGGUCGGCCGCUCGAGCCGGCCGGUAACGGCCGGCCUAGAGAGAUGACCGCUCUCGACAGAACCCGGCUUACAGGCUCGCUCCGCUC
rnacentral:RNase_P_RNA from 1 species